rnacentral:rRNA from 1 species
UACAGAGGGUGCAAGCGUUAAUCGGAGUUACUGGGCGUAAAGGGCGCGUAGGCGGUCAUAUAAGUGAGAUGUGAAAUACCUGGGCUCAACCUGGGAACGGCAUUUUAGACUGUAUGACUGGAGUACUGUAGAGGAUAGUGGAAUUUCCGGUGUAGCGGUGAAAUGCGUAGAGACCGGAAGGAACACCAGUGGCGAAGGCGACUGUCUGGACAGAUACUGACGCUGAGGCGCGAAAGCGUGGGGAGCAAACAGG